CGGCAGGGGAAAACAUUGUUUUUUCAUGCACUGGUCAAUUUCGAAAUUUUGAGCUAGUCUGUUACCUUAGUGUGGUGAAAUGGGUUUCCCCUUGAGUCAUCUUGACUGACAGGUUAUUGAUUAGGGGGCGUGCCCUGGAUUGGUAUUUAAGGAAGUGGCUUUCGACUGACAGGUAGGCCUACGUCGUUCAGUCAGUGAAAGGACUUCCUGGUUAGUGACGUGGGAUACCGGUAGCUUGGUGUGCGUGUAGGUGAAACCGCUGGCUCAACAGUGCGGUUGGUAUUUGCUUUGGAAACUCGCAUGCAUUAUGUCCAGUGGACCGCAACGCGAGAAACUUGUUGGUGUCAGUUUGCUAUCAGCAGUAGAGUGGUGAGUGCGUUGUGUCUCCUCCUCGUACCUGUAAGUGGAGCAUAGGGUCGCCAGCUUUGAGCUUUUGUUGUGCUUUACAGAUUGGCCUAUAUGCUGGCUACACUCAUCGGCUGUUCCCACGUCCUAAGAGACUGCUGCUUUGUCUCCUUUUAGUGUUUGUCUUGUCAUUAUUACUUUAGUAAUGUCAUGUCCAAUUAUUAGGAUAUUUGUUUAGACUGAUCUUUCUAGCCACUGGCUCUGGCUGGUGCUAGGACUUUUGUUUUGUUUGUUCCAAUGCAUGCUUGGGCUAUGCAGUGCUGUGUCGCCGUCUUUCUGGCCUAACCUGCAUGCACUUUGUACUUGUAUUUGUUGGUUGUGGGAUAAACCCUGUUCUGCCUGUGUUGCUACUCUGCUUGUGUAACGGGAGCAGGAAUUAUGCUACUGACCCUUGAGGUACAACAACAGACACACUGGAUAUAUAUAAAACUCAGUUUUAUUACAACAUUAAAAAAAAGGCAUAUACAUAUGUAUUGUGUGUGUUUUUAUAAGUAACUAGGUCCUGGUGCUUCAAACCAGUGUGGAAGAUCUAGAGAAAGUAGCUAGUUAACUACUUCAAACCAGUGUGGGGAAUCUAGGGAUGGCAGCUAGUUAAAAUGUCAGCAGCUACAAAAUACUGUUUUAAACCAGUGUGGAAGAUCUAGGGCUAGUAGCCAGUUAACUACUUCAAACCAGUAUGAAAGAUCUAGGGAUAGCAGCUAGUUAAGUGCAAGCAGCUACACAAUA